AACCAGUGAAUACUAAGACUAAGUACCUGCUAUUUAAUAAGGAACUAUAUGUGUAGGAAGCGUAAGUAAACGCAGUACACUACGUUGACGUUCAAAACUUCAAACGAACCACCGCACCGUGCGAGAACGGGUGGUGCGAGAACCAAAUCGCCGUCGGCCCGACACCAAAGUGUAUAAUAAAUAUAGGGGUUCCCGCCACCACGACCGCCGCGACAGCAUCACAGCACUCGCCCCGCCCGCCACUCGGACAGUCGGACCUCGGUGUCGAGUCGGUGACUGUGACUCCGUGUCGUGCGUGACACUGCACGCAUUCCGACCCCGCAAAUAUUGUACGCGUGCUCCGCACUAAUUAGUAUGGUAUAUUUUCACCACAACCUCAAGUCUCAAACAAACAAUAAAUUAGUCAGCCAUUUUAUUCCGGAUCAAGCAACAAGUGGCGACCGACCGUGACAGUAAGUUGAACCCGUCGGUUGGGAUCGGGAUUGGGGAGCAUCGGUUGCAUCAUCGCGUCAACGAGUCGCCGCCAUAAUGUGGAUCAAAGAAUAGAUAGAAACUAACUAGGCCAGUCUAUGGGCUUGCGAGCUCCGAGGGGCAACGGUCAACGGGGGGCUAGCGAUGCAACUUCGUAUUUCGUUCAAGUCCUGCAUACCAUCUGCACUGCAAUGUGGAGAUCGUAAAAGAACAUCCUGCUCGUGCUUGCGCGCCUACAGACGACUCUUCCUUCAGUCCGAUUGACGGGUUUGGCGGCAGUGUGUAGCUGUGUCUUGGGACGCGCUGCUGGUAGGCUCGGCGGCUGCUGCGUAGUCUUUGCGGUUGGCGGCCGAUUCUAUGAGAAGUAUGGGAUACCUGGAGUUAUUGGGUAUGCACCCAAUCAAUGCUGAUUGAACAAUCGUAAGACCAUUGGAGCAUGAAGAGCAAUUCAAUAGAAAAUAUUCAUUCAAUCAACACACAAGUUGUGAUUCUGGUUAUGCUCUGCGGGAGUAUAUGAUGACCCUGGUGGAUAAUGCCACCGAGGACUCUCCAGAGGGAAGGUAUAAUUCCCUCCAAAAACGUGCACGCUCUACCAUAGAAUGUACGGUUAGUGUCCUCAAGGGUCGAUGGCGAUGUCUCAGCUCGAGAACAUCAUUACUGCCCAGAAACAGCAGGUUAAAUCAAUAUUGGCCUGCUGUGUUUAACACAAUAUCUGUGUUCGGGUAUUAAAUCUCCCGAGUUGUUUCAAAUGACAUCGACUCUGAGAGGACACGACUGGUGGCAUCCCAGGCAGCGCCAACUUCGACAAGCCAAGCAUUACAGGCUGGUUGAAGAGCGAGGCUGACAUUAAUCCAAACAUUGGAAAGACACCGAUAACGCAUGGAGACAACAAUGCCAACAUUUUUUUUAUUUAUGGGUAUAAUUAUUUUUGCUAUUAUCAUUUUACAGUUUUAUUAUAUGGA